UACGUAGGUGACCAGCGUUGUCCGGAUUUACUGGGCGUAAAGAGCGCGCAGGCGGUCGUUCAAGUCGAGUGUGAAAGCCCCGGCUCAACUGGGGAGGGUCACGCGAUACUGAUCGACUCGAAGGCAGGAGAGGGAAGUGGGAAUUCCCAGUGUAGCGGUGAAAUGCGUAGAUAUUGGGAGGAACACCGGUGGCGAAGGCGGCCCCCUGGACCGGUACUGACGCUGAGGCGCGAAAGCGUGGGUAGCAAACGGG
rnacentral:rRNA from 1 species